rnacentral:tRNA from 1 species
UGGAGUGUAGCCAAAUGGUGAAGGCUGCGGACUUUGACUCCGCCAUAUGUAGGUUCAAAUCCUGCCACUUCAG